GAAACCUCCAAUAUCAGAUCAAGUUAUUCUACCUUAGUUCAGCCGCUGUGUAUUGACCCCCAGAGGAUGCAGAGUCCCUGCAGCAGCCUGUCAGGAUCCACUUGCAUUGUAGCCCCUGUAUUUACCAAGCAUCUUCAAGACAUCUCUACAACCAGAGGACAGUUUGUCGUGUUUGAAUGUCGAGUCCAG